UUACAGGCAUGAGCCAUGGUGCCUGGCCAAAAUUAAUACUUUCUAUAUUAAAUUUACAUAUAUAUAUAUUUUUUUGUUUUUGAUACCAGGUCUCACGCUGUCACUUAGGCUGGAGUACAGUGGCACAACCUCUGCUCACUGCAGCCUCCACCUGCCAGGCUCAAGCAAUUCUUCUGACUUAGCCUCCUGAGUAGCUGGGAUUACAGGUAAGUGCCGCCACACCGAGCUAAUUUUUGUGUUUUUUGUAGAGAUGGGGUUUCGCCAUGUUUCCCAGACUGGUCUCAAACUCCUGAGCUCAAAGCAAUUCACCCACCUUGGCCUCCCAAAGUGCUGGGAUUACAGGUGUGAGCCACCUUGCUCAUUCUAGUUUAAACUUUUGAGUGGUUUGUGUCUCCUGAUUGGACUCCUACAAAUACAGAAUUGAUGGUAGGAAGGGUACCAGGAGAUAGACCCACACAGAUGGGAUUUGGGAAUAAGUUUGGUUAUCCAAGGAGCAGUGCUGAGCUCCUUGCUAAUGGGAUAUGGGAUGCUGGUGAUUUCCAGGAAGUGACCUCACAAUGACUCAAGCUACCACUUACUGUUGAUUGUGAUGAAAUACCAGGUGAAGGCCGGGUGCGGCAGCUCACCCCUGUAAUCCCAGCACUUUGGGAGGCCAAGGCGGGCGGAUCACUAGGUCAGAAGAUCGAGACCAUCCUGGCUAACACGGUGAAACCCCGUCUCUACUAAAAAUACACAAAAUUAGCUGGGCAUGGUGGCGGGCACCUAUAGUCCCAGCUACUCGGGAGGCUGAGGCAGGAGAAUGGUGGGAACCUGGGAGGCGGAGCUUGCAGCGAGCCGAGAUCCUGUCACUGCCCUCCAGCCUGGGCGACAGAGUGAGACUCCGUCUCAAAAACAAAAAAAAGAAAUACCAGGUGAAGCAUAUGCCCUGCAAGCUUAGGGGUGCUACAGUUGACCACUGUAGCAGUAAAGAUGACUGAAGAAUAGCAUGGGAUGGAUCCUUUCGAAUGCACUUGAGCAGCAGUCUCCAACCACAGGGCCACAGAGCCAGAGGUGAGCAGCAGCUGGAUCUACCAUGAAAGACUUCUGAAUCCAGGAAAAGAGACUGACUGGGUAACAUGUUAUUCAGGUACAAAAAGACUUGGACUAUAACUCAAAAAUGGUCAAAUAAUAGUGCAUGCAUCAAAUGCAAUGGGAAGCUCUUUUGGAGGCUGAAAGAAGUUUCCAGUUAAGGUGACAUUGAAGCUAAGUCCUGAAAAAUGAGGAAGAGUUGUAUGAGAGUGGGGAGGGAAGGGGGAGGUGGAGGGAUGGGGAAUGGGCUGGAAUGGGAUGGAGUGAGCUGCCCAGGCAGGGAAACCAGCACUGCACAGACCUGGACAAUGAAGAUGGCACAUCUUGUUCAGGGAAUGGUGAAUUAAGUGUGGCAGGAAUGCUUUGUGGAGACAGUAAUUUGCUUGUAUGGAAUUUUGCCUGAUCACUACAGUUUCUAAUUUUUUGAUGUUGUCAUCCAUCACUGUCCUUGUCAAAUAGUUUGGAAUAGGUAUAAUGAUCACAGUAACACCAAGCAUAAUAUUUCGUUAAUUCUCACAGAAUCACAGGUAGGUGCCACAGUUAUCCCCAUUUUACGAAUGAAGUGAUGAAGACUUAGCAAUAAUGAGUGAUUUGCCCAAGCUCACCUGGAUAUUAAGACUGAGUCGAAUGUUGGGUCUGGUCUGACUUUAAUGCUUGCUUUGUUCAUGAGCACCACGUAUUGCCUCUCCUAUGCAGUUAAGCAGGUAGACAGGUGAAAGAAAAGCCUGUGUCUGUCUCUGCUCACACACUUCCGACUGAAUGUAUGUAUGGAGUUUCUACACCAAAUUCUCCAGUGCUCUGGAUAUUAACUGGGUAUCCCAUGAUUUUAUUCUGACACUGCCUGGAGUUAGCGCAGACCCCACAAGUUAGGGGCUCAGUCCCAUGAGACCAUCCUCACUUCAGAUGCCAAUGGCAAGUCCUAGGUUGUCACCUGUACUUUUGA
rnacentral:lncRNA from 10 species